GCCAUUUUCUGACAUUUGAAAAGAUCUGAAGAUACGCCCCUUGGAUGCCUGCAGAGAAGCUCUGGGGCUUCAGUCAAUGACUCAGGGUAGCCACCGAACAUGAUGCUCGGGCAGUGGGUGCCACCUGGACUCCACUCUCCCCUCUCUCUGGGAUCAUAGAGUCCAAGGUGUUCUGUGGCCUCUCGGCCAAUCCCAGCAGCUCAGCGUGCAGAAGACCGAGGAGCCAUUGGAAAAGAAAAAGAGAACAUAUAUCCCCCUACCUUUUGAUUUCCAACAGUCUACUGAGAGGCCAAGAUUAUUUGCAGGGAAAGAAAAGGGGUCAAAAUGUUUUGCCAGUAACUCCCAAAUCAUCUACAGCCAAGGAGAAAAGUGUUUCAAGACAGAGGUGCUCAAUGGUAUCAAAUACUGCCAACAGACCAAGUAAUACAUGCAUUGAAGUGUCUACUGGAUCUAGCUAUAUGUUAUGGUGGAAAACGCUAGAAAUGAAGAUUUUGUCCCCAGGGAUGGGGGAUACAAGUUACCAAAGUAGUGGCGAGAAAAGGAAUUUUUAAUUUAGGACACUUAGGCCAUACUGAAGCAAGGUGACAAAAUGAAUAGCUACAAUGUCUCGUGAAUCUUGGGUUUCCAUUCACCCUGGUAUUCAAGAGAAAUUCUUGCAUCAUGGAAGUUGCAGUUGGAUAGGACUUUCUCAGCUGAACACUGUCAUCUGCCAGAGCUUCAG
ensembl:lncRNA LINC00710 long intergenic non-protein coding RNA 710